AGAGCGCGAGCCUGAGCCACACCAGAGGCGGGGAAGAUGACAACAAUCCCGUCCCCUUUAGUCCGAAAGAUUGUGGGUAAAGUAAAGCAUUCCAUUCCAAACACUGUCAAAGCCACACCGGAGGCUGUCAACAGCUUACUUCCACACACUUCAGCGUCUCUCCGUCUUACACGAUGAUCCCUGACAACCCAGAUAUCGGACACACAGUUGGUUUUUAUUUCAUUUUUCUGUCGUUCGUUCCUGUCAACAUUGUCACCGGCAGCACAAGACCAGGCUCCCAGAACCAGGAUUCAGAGGAAGUCCUCUAUGACAGCCAGCUAGACCUGCAAGAGAUAGUGUUUGUGAUCCAGAGCCAGAGUAACUCAUUCCACAUGAGUUGGGCGGAAAGACAGAGAGCAGACCUGUUACAACAGACUCAGAGCCUCACACAGACACCCCCUCCAGUCCUGCUCCUCCACAGUUUGACAGACAAUGAGGGAGACUGGAGCAUCCUUCCUCUGCUGCCUUACUUCUCCUCGUUGUUUGGGAAGAACUCGUCCUGGUUAGUGUUUCUGGAAGAGGAGACUAACGUCAAGGUGACCAAGCUGCUCCAGGCCCUCAGGAAGUUUGACAGGAGAAAAGAGUGGUUCCUGGGUAAACCUCUCCAUGACGAGGAGUCGACCAUCAUCCACCACUACGCCUUUGCAGAGAACCCCUCCAUCUUUAAAUACCCAGACUUCUCUGCUGCCUGGGCCCUUAGCAUCCCCCUGCUUGACAGAGAUGAUCCACUCAAGUCUGACUUCACUAUCGAUCUGAAGCAUGAGGUGGCUCUGUAUAUCUGGGAGAAUGGCCAAGGGCCUCGUCUGACGGCAGUCCCAGAGCUGUGUACUGAGCCAGAACACUCUCCCACUGCCCAACACUGUGCUACCACGCUCAGGAGACCUGCUCCCAUGUGUGGGGAGCCUGUAAAGAAGGAAGACAUCUUUGUUGCUGUGAAAACUUGCAAGAAGUUUCACAGUGAGAGAGUCCCAGUGGUGAAGAAGACGUGGGAGAGAGAGGCAUCUCUGUUGGAGUAUUACAGUGACCACACUGACCCCUCCAUACCUACCAUCGACCUAGGAGUCCCCAACACAGAGAGAGGUCAUUGUGGGAAGACGUUUGCCAUCUUGGAGAGGUAUAUCAGCGAUGCGGUGCCAAAGACGAGCUGGCUGCUGGUGGUGGAUGAUGACACACUCAUCAGCCUACCCAGACUGCACAUGCUGUUGAGCUGUUACGACCCCUCUGAACCGGUGUGUCUAGGGGAGAGGUACGGCUACGGGCUGGGCCAGGGAGGCUACAGCUACAUCACCGGAGGAGGGGGGAUGGUGUUCAGUAGGGCCGCGGUGGUGAGGCUCCUGGCCAGUGACUGCAAGUGUUACAGUAAUGACGCCCCUGAUGACAUGGUGCUGGGGAUGUGUCUCAACGCUCUGGGGCUCCCUGUCACACAUAGCUCCCUCUUCCACCAGGCACGACCUGAAGACUACUCCAGAGACUUCCUAGCCCACCAGGUGCCCAUCUCUUUCCACAAACACUGGAACAUCGACCCCGUCGCCGUCUUCAACAGGUGGCUAAAGGAUGAGUCGAUGUCAACAAGCCCACACGGACUAAACAAGAGCACCAAGGAAGAGUUAUAG
ensembl:lncRNA beta 3-glucosyltransferase